rnacentral:rRNA from 1 species
GGUCAAGCUACAAAGAGCUAACGGU